CCUUUAUACAUUACAUUUUUGCCUAACUAACUAUAUUAGAUACAUUUUUUAUUUUGCACAGUCUGUCUAUUUACCCAGUUUUUAUUUUUACACUGAACUGUUCCUUUAAGGGAAAGUUCCUUAGUUUGGAGGAGGUGUCAGGAGCAGAAGAUGCAGUGGGGGAUUUGAGGCACAUAAUCUUUCUUGGAUAGGAAUCCCUCUUUUUAUUAAUCCCUUAUAUCAUGCAGCAUUCUCAUUAUCCCCACUCCCCUUGAGAUCAGUCAUUGCUUAAUCUUGCAGCCACAGGGAACUUACCUGGCAGAGUGGUCACCAGGUAGGUGGGCUUGUUAUUGCACAGCAGAGUGGCCAGGCUCCCUAACGUGCCCACGGCAACCACUUGUACAUCCAGUGACAGACCCAGGGUGACGUUCCUCUGCCAAAAGAGAAGCACAAUGAGAUGUGGGUGGGAACACAAGGGGUGUGUAUAUCCUCCCCCUGCCGGGUUUCCUCCCACGCUGCAGUAUAUGUCAGUGCUAAAUAUAUUUAGGUAUAAUAAUCAGUAGUGGGUUUUCUCGGGGUAAGUGAUAUUUUGUGCACAAAAUCUAAUCCUAUAUAUAGUAUGAACCUCUGCAGGGAGAAGGAGGGGCAUAGGGCCUCCCUGCAUGUGUGAAUAUAGGGUUCAGCCUCUGGAGGAAGAAGGAGGAGCAUAGGGACUCACUGCAUGUAUGAAUAUAGGGUUCAGACUCUGAAGAGAGUGGGAGGGGCAUAGGUAGUUCCUGCAUGUAUGAAUAUAAGGUUCAGCCUCUGGAGGAGCAUAGGGACUCCUUGCAUGUAUGAAUAUAGGGUUCAGCUUCUCGAGAGAGAGUGGGGGGGGCAUAGGGAGUCCCUGCAUGUAUGAAUAUAGGGUUCAGCCUCUGGAGGAAGUAGGAGGAGCAUAGGGACUCCCUGCAUGUAUGAAUAUAGGGUUCAGCCUCUGGAGGAAGUAGGAGGAGCAUAGGGACUCCCUGCAUGUAUGAAUAUAGGUUUCAGCCUCUGGAGAGAGUGGGGGGAGGUUAGGGACUCCCUGCAUAUAUGAAUAUAGGUUUCAGCCUCUGGAGAGAGUGGGAAGGGCAUAGGGACUCCCUGCAUGUAUGAAUAUAGGUUUCAGCCUCUGGAGAGAGUGGGAGGAGCUUAGGGACUCCCUGCAUGUAUGAAUAUAGGUUUCAGCCUCUGGAGAGAGUGGGAGGAGCUUAGGCACUCCCUGCAUGUAUGAAUAUAGGGCUCAUGGGGUCGGAUUACCAGCACAGCCUGAAAGUAGAUCUCCAGAUCCUGACAAGAUGGCAGGGCUUCGGUGGAUUCCAUCUUGCGUGCCACACAUCCCUCCGGCUGUCCAUGAUAAACCAUCAGGUGCUGGUGGGGAGAGACGUGAGGGUGGGUCACAUAUGCAUUGGGUUCUUUUAUUUGAUUUAAUAACAGAAGCAAUUUCAGUGGGUUCUAGAGGUAACACUUGCCCUCUGGCUGUAGCUCAGUAGCGCCCCCAUCAGUUCUUCCUCUAUUCAACUUACGUUUUUAAUAUCGCAGGUGAUGCCCGGGGUUGAACCCUGAUCUGUGAGGUCACUGAGUGCCAGGAGAAGAGACGCCUCAUUCUGCACAUUGAGCUGUGGUGGCAGAUUGCAAGCUCUUUUGAACAGGACCUUCCUCACCUUUUGUACCAGUACUGAUUGUUAUGUAUGUAACUCUAUGUAUAUAAUUCAUGUGAUUUCUUUGUUGGCACUCUACAAAUACAUCUUGAUAAUAAUAAUUAUCGUAACAAGCUGCCUCACUGAUAUGCAUAUAUGUAUACAUGAUGAUGAUGACACAUUGAUGAUGAUUGAUAAUUUCAAGAACACAGAUGGAACCAAUAAACGUAGGACCUCUUUUUGGAGAGGCAAUCCUUAGAUGAAUGUUCUUGGUAGAUACAAAAACCUUGUUCCUUGGCAGAGCCAGGAGGAGAAGACAUUUCCAGCAUAGGCUUUUUGUGCCACAGAAUCUUUUUCAAGUGGAACUCCAGAUUGCAGAUACGUGGGCAAUAUUGUCAUUGGCUGCAGGGACAUCUGAGAGGAGAAAAUCAUGGGGGGCUGAGGAUGUUGACUAUAGACACCUAGGAAUGGUGACCUACUCAUGGAGGCAUGACUGUCAUCCUUACAAAAAGAUACAUGACAUCUCAACAAUUGUUUGAGAACUUGGUUAACUUAUUACCAGCUCCAUUAGAUUGUGGGUGAUGGGCAUGGGAAAAGCGGAGAUGCCAAGGAACUUACACAAAUUUCCACCUCUGAUGGGAGUUCUGUUAGAGAAUGAAAUCUUACUGAAGUGGUCUAUUACCACCCAAAUAACAUUGUUAUCUUUGGAAGAUGGUAGUUCAACAAUGAAGUCCAUGGGGGUCAAGCUCAAGAGGGAACAGACAAGGAGAAAUAAUUGGGUUGUUCUCCUAUCAAGGACUAUACUCAGGAAUGAAAUGUUGGCCUUUUUCUUUUUAGGACCAGGACGGUAUAUAACAAUAAAGUUGAAGCCCACCA